UACGAAGGGGGCUAGCGUUGUUCGGAAUCACUGGGCGUAAAGGCGCGUAGGCGGCCGAUCAAGUCGGGGGUGAAAGCCUGUGGCUCAACCACAGAAUUUGCCUUCGAUACUGUUUGGCUUGAGACCGGAAGAGGUUAGUGGAACUGCGAGUGUAGAGGUGAAAUUCGUAGAUAUUCGCAAGAACACCAGUGGCGGAAGGCGG
rnacentral:rRNA from 1 species